AUAGGAUCCUUAAGUAAUUUUCCAUCAAAUAGGUUAGUUACCCUUCUUUAGAAAAAUCUGUUGUUUCCACUUUUGCAUACAUAUUUCUCAAUAAUCAAUUUUUACUUACAUUUAAUUGAAUGAGAACUAAAUAAGUGGGCUAUUUACUUUUUAAAUAUCUUUGCUAUAUUGCUAUAUUUUGAGAUGUCGCAUGAACUUUUUUUCAAUCUAAAAUCACGCAAAUGUCUUUCUUUAAAAUACUAGAGAUUUUACUCUCCUAUAAAAAUUUGCAUUGUUAGGAAUAUAUAACAUAAAAAGAACCAAAUGCUAUUAAGGUUUUUAAGCUGUC
rnacentral:lncRNA from 1 species